rnacentral:rRNA from 1 species
AUUGAACGCUGGCGGCAGGCCUAACACAUGCAAGUCGAGCGGAGCGGCGGACGGGUGAGUGAUGCCUAGGAAUGUGCCUGGUAGUGGGGGAUAACGUACGGAAACGGGCGCUAAUACCGCAUACUCUCAGACGAGCCUAGGGCGGAUUGGCUAGUUGGUGGGGUAAAGGCCUACCAAGGCGACGAUCCCUAACUGGUCUGAGAGGAUGAUCAGUCACACUGGAACUGAGACACGGUCCAGACUCCGACGGGAGGCAGCAGUGGGGAAUAUUGGACAAUGGGCGAAAGCCUGAUGCAGCCAUGCCGCGUGUAUGAAGAAGGUCUUCGGAUUGUAAAGCACUUUAAGUUGGGAGGCGUUACCAACAGAAUAAGCACCGGCUAACUUCGUGCCAGCAGCCGCGGUAAUUC